CCAGUGCUUCCUCCAGACAUAACUGUCUUUGGCCCAAAGCACCACCUGCCCUAUGCUCCCCAGGUAGACAAACAGGCACAAAGCAAGCAAAUCACGGGCAGGGAUCUGUGGGCACACACCCUUCUUAGGCUCCUUAAUCUUGAGAACAAAAAGCUCACCUGGAAAAAAGGAACACAUCAAUUUGGCACCAUCUGGUCACUAAAAGAAUUGCAUCCUUGGAGGCAAGUAGGGGCUCUGAUAAACCCCACAAAGCAUUGUCCUCUAACUUGCA